rnacentral:rRNA from 1 species
GACGAACGCUGGCGGCGUGCUUAACACAUGCCAGUCGAACGGAAAGGCCCUGCUUUUGUGGGGUGCUCGAGUGGCGAACGGGUGAGUAACACGUGAGUAACCUGCCCUUGACUUUGGGAUAACUUCAGGAAACUGGGGCUAAUACCGGAUAGGAGCUCCUGCUGCAUGGUGGGGGUUGGAAAGUUUCGGCGGUUGGGGAUGGACUCGCGGCUUAUCAGCUUGUUGGUGGGGUAGUGGCUUACCAAGGCUUUGACGGGUAGCCGGCCUGAGAGGGUGACCGGCCACAUUGGGACUGAGAUACGGCCCAGACUCCUACGGGAGGCAGCAGUGGGGAAUAUUGCACAAGGGGCGGAAGCCGGAUGCAGCAACGCCGCGUGCGGGAUGACGGCCUUCGGGUUGUAAACCGCUUUCGCCUGUGACGAAGCGUGAGUGACGGUAAUGGGUAAAGAAGCACCGGCUAACUACGU